rnacentral:sRNA from 1 species
GUCAACCACCACUAAUUGGAAUAAUAGUGGGGAGUUGAAAGAGCCUAGUUGACCAGUCUAAGUGUUAAAUUACUGCGUUUAAGAUGAAAAUAAAUACUACUGUACUACUAACCUUAAUUUUGUUAACUCUAAUGUUGGGAGUCGGUUCUGCGAGUGGUUUUUUGGGCUUUACCUUGGGUAGUAUGGCACUUAAAGGUGUGACUACGCCAGAUGGUCGGCCUUUGAGUAAAUUUAACAGCAACAAGGGGAAUAAUACCCAGGAGG